CAGUGGUUAGGAGUGGUUAACACUAUCGCCUCACAGCAAGCAGUAACUGUGCUCGGCCGUUUCCUCUGGCUUCCUCCCACAGUCCACAGACAUGCAGGUUCCCUGAGCCGGUUCCUCUAAUUAACCUGUGAUACUAUACAAACAAGUCCAACUCUCCGCUGUCUACCUCAAGCUCAAGUGCACCCAUUGCUCAUCAUAGACACACUCCAGUGGACAACAACUGGCACUUCAGUUUUGAGAUCCCCUGGAGCAAGAUGCCAUCAGAGAUUACUAGAAAAGCAUGAAAAAAGAGCAGCUAACAAGACGUGAAAGGUAGUGGUUAUGCCUCUCUUACCAAGCAGCUGCAGAGCAGAGUUUUACCUGAAAAGACAGGCAUCCAGCACAAGUGAGGGAGAAGACCUGCCUUCAAAGAUGGUGAGACUGGGCACAUACGACUGUUUACAUUGGUGACCAAAGAGGCUGCCACCAGGUGAAACUGCGGAGGCUCAGAAAUGUACACAUGGUAAAUUAAAGAACAUGGACAAAAACAGAAGUAAGGACACCAAACAUAUGAUGGAAACUUUCUACACUUAGAGAGGCAACAUGAUAAGUGGAAUGGAAACCCCUGUUCUGGUAUCUGUUUGAGAUAUGCAGUAUGAUGGCUCACUUCAAAUAACUCAAGGGUAUGGAUGUUGACAGAGGAUCUGUGUCGAGUGAAUGUGGAAGAGUCCUUUCAUACCUCAUGAGAAGAGCAAAAUAGGAGACAUCCUAGCAGGUAUAGAAAUCACAAAGAGGAGCAUCUAGACGCUCAUCUUCACAGGUGUCUUUUGCUGCUUUUGAACCAUUUCAUCAAUGAAGACAACGGCGAGGUGUUCCUGAGGUUUGA